UUUAAUUUGGUACAUAUUUAAAAUAAUCACAGAAUUGUUUUUUAUAAUGCCUUAUUUUCUCACUGGGUAUGACGAUACUUAUAAUCAUAAAGAUAAGGAUGAAUGGCAUUACUUCAUUGUCACUUUAAUGCCUGUUGGAAAUUCGGUUUGAGCUUUUCAAGUAUAAGUAAAUGCAGUGAAAAUUCCCUAACUGAACGGAUAGUAACUUUUCUUGUCAUAAUAGGGGUUUUUAUAAAGUAGCAGAUAAACCAAAAGAAAAAAAUGUGAACUAUAACCACCAAAUAUAGUCAAUAGGCUUAUAAUAGACAACAAAAUUUGAAAAUAAUUGAAAAAGUAUGUAUGUACUUAUAUAUAGAAAUUCAUAUAUUUGCAAUUUUUAACAGUACUAAGAUUUUCUUAGUAAGACAAUAUAAAAACAAUUAAAAUUAAAUAAAAAUAGAGGGUAUGAUACGAGUUAAACUGAAGACAAGGAAGAUACUGCUAACAAAAGGAGGUGUAAUAAAGUAUACCGUGGUAGUAAAAAAUAGCUAAUAAGCAAGGAAAUAAGUAAAUAAGAAAAAAACUUAAUACAUUGUAAGUAGAUAAGCUUCUAAUAAAAUAAAUAGCAAAUACAAUUAAAUAGAAAUAGCCGAUUAAAAUAUCGGUUGAAGUUUGUAGCAAUCAGCAAGUAAGUUAUGUAAAACAUAUGUAUGUAAAUUAGUAAGAAAAAUAUAUUAUUAAACAAAGUAGUAGAAAUAUUUAUGUAGUAUUUAUGAAUAACAACUAUUGACUUAAACUAUAAAUAAUAAAUACAUACACAAGUAUUAAGAA